rnacentral:tRNA from 1 species
GGGGGGAUAGCUCAGUGGUAAAGCACCCGCAUACGUAUCGGAAGGUCGGGGCUUCGACUCCCUCUGCCUCCA